UUGCUAUAUUCUCACCAAAUGCACGGUUUAUUUUCUUAGACCUACUAUUAAACAAAGUCUUAACUUGUAUCAUUUUUUCUUAACAAUAGGCAUAGAGUUCCUGACUCUUAUGCUAUAUGAUCAGCUUACUCCUGCUUCACUGUACUAAUUCCUGACUGUUGUAUGUAAGGAGUAAAAUAGUUUACUUGAGUGAUAUCCACUGGUUCACUAUCUUAGAGCACCUUUUUAGCAUUGUGGGCUGCUAAUAGUAUUUUAGACUUAUCAUAUCCUCUCUGGCGCGAUGGCAGAAGCACAUGAUAGACUACUAAAUGGACAAGUAUCUACAACGUUUAGCAUCAAAGAUGAUGCUUACCAGAUGUUCUACUGCAGCCCCGUCCAUAUCAUCGACAUGAAGUUAGGUAUCUACUCGUCCUAAAAUUGACGGCCUGAAGCUUGAUGCAUGUAUAAUGUGACACACACAUCAGGAUAUCUGAAUAAUUUUGACAUGUUUGCUCUGUUAUCUAGCAGUAGGUUGAUACUUGUCACUUGCCCUUUCCAAAUACAUAUCAGUUUUGUUGUUAUGAGAAUGUUAUAUGCAUGGUUUCUUAUUAGAUCUCAAAUUCUGCAGCUAUGUUUCAUUGUUAGAAGAAUGUUAUAUGCACGGGUACACUUGAUUGUGUUCCCUAACUUUUCUGAUUUUUUGAUUUAUAAUCCGCAGAUUUUGGCCUUCAUUCAUAAAAAGUUUGUGUACAAGGAACUCCAGGAGAAGAAUCUUUAAGUAAAUAAUUUAUAUAGAUCAGGAUCUUAUGUUGUCGAGGUGGCUGCUGCUGUGACCAAAGAUCAGCCUGGAGAUGUGCAUCAUAGUCUUAGUUAAUGUUACCACCAUGUUUUGGUGCCUGUGUAUUUGAUUGUAUGUACACUUGAUGGAUCAUGUAGUCGUGUACGUGCUGUUUUGAGUUUCAUUUAGUGAUUUCUGGAUUUGAUCAUUUAAUUGAGAAAAUUAUUUAUUGUUUAGUGUUGAAAUGUGUAAAAUUGAAAUCUGUGAUUGAAAAAGAUUGAAUGUUCUAUUGGAUUGAAUAAUAUUUGGGCUCUAAAAAGG
rnacentral:lncRNA from 1 species